rnacentral:sRNA from 2 species
UUUUUGCGUGAGGGAUUGCAGUGAAAAUCCUUUUGGCGCGGCACAAGCCAAAAGAUUGCAACGUAAAGCCCGACCCUUG